ACGAACGCUGGCGGCGUGCCUAAUACAUGCAAGUAGAACGCUGAAGAGAGGAGCUUGCUCUUCUUGGAUGAGUUGCGAACGGGUGAGUAACGCGUAGGUAACCUGCCUUGUAGCGGGGGAUAACUAUUGGAAACGAUAGCUAAUACCGCAUAACAAUGGAUGACACAUGUCAUUUAUUUGAAAGGGGCAAUUGCUCCACUACAAGAUGGACCUGCGUUGUAUUAGCUAGUAGGUGAGGUAAUGGCUCACCUAGGCGACGAUACAUAGCCGACCUGAGAGGGUGAUCGGCCACACUGGGACUGAGACACGGCCCAGACUCCUACGGGAGGCAGCAGUAGGGAAUCUUCGGCAAUGGGGGCAACCCUGACCGAGCAACGCCGCGUGAGUGAAGAAGGUUUUCGGAUCGUAAAGCUCUGUUGUAAGCCGAGAACGGGUGUGAGAGUGGAAAGUUCACACUGUGACGGUAGCUUACCAGAAAGGGACGGCUAACUACGUG
rnacentral:rRNA from 1 species